rnacentral:rRNA from 1 species
CAGUCGCCGCGGGAAUACGUAGGUGGCAAGCGUUGUCCGGAAUUAUUGGGCGUAAAGGGCUCGCAGGCGGUUUCUUAAGUCUGAUGUGAAAGCCCCCGGCUCAACCGGGGAGGGUCAUUGGAAACUGGGAAACUUGAGUGCAGAAGAGGAGAGUGGAAUUCCACGUGUAGCGGUGAAAUGCGUAGAGAUGUGGAGGAACACCAGUGGCGAAGGCGACUCUCUGGUCUGUAACUGACGCUGAGACGCGAAAGCCAGGGGAGCGAACGGGAUUAGAUACCCCGGUAGUCCCUGUCUCUUAUAA